rnacentral:rRNA from 1 species
ACGUAGGCAGCAAGCGUUGUUCGGAGUUACUGGGCGUAAAGGGUGCGUAGGCGGCUUUUUAAGUUUGGUGUGAAAUCUCCCGGCUCAACUGGGAGGGUGCGCCGAAUACUGAGAGGCUAGAGUGUGGGAGAGGAAAGUGGAAUUCCUGGUGUAGCGGUGAAAUGCGUAGAUAUCAGGAGGAACACCGGUGGUGUAAACGGCUUUCUGGACCAUAACUGACGCUGAGGCACGAAAGCGUGGGUAGCAAACAGGA